UGUGUGUGUGUGUGUGUGUGUGUGUGUGUGUGUGUGUGUGUGAGAGAGGAGCUGCCAUCCACAGGAAGUACUUCAUACUUUAGCAGCAGCUUCAGGAAAAACAAAAAUGGCAAGACGACCAAGGUGGUUUCUGUGGUGUCUGCUGCUGGUUCCGGUCGUCUUGCUCCUCACUCUCUCCCUGCAGGAGUACAGUAGCUCAGUGCAGGAUAUCAAAGAGGACUUGCGUCGGGCGUUACUCUAAACAGCAAGAGGGGGUCCUGGUCAGAACAAGAA